rnacentral:rRNA from 1 species
AGGGAAUAUUGCGCAAUGGAGGAAACUCUGACGCAGCGACGCCGCGUGAGCGAUGAAGGUUUUCGGAUCGUAAAGCUCUGUCCUUGGGGAAGAAGGUCUUCGGACUUGACGGUACCCAAGAAGAAAGCCCCGGCUAACUACGUGCCAUCAGCCGCGGUAAUACGUAGGGGGCAAGCGUUGUCCGGAAUUAUUGGGCGUAAAGGGUGCGUAGGCGGCCUUUUAAGUCGGAUGUGAAAGCCCGCGGCUUAACUGCGGGAUUGCAUUUGAAACUGGGAGGCUUGAGUAUCGGAGAGGGUAGUGGAAUUCCCAGUGUAGCGGUGAAAUGCGUAGAUAUUGGGAGGAACACCAGUGGCGAAGGCGACUGCCUGGACGAAAACUGACGCUGAGGCACGAAAGCUAGGGGAGCAAAC